rnacentral:rRNA from 1 species
CGUACUGUGAAGCAUCCGUGUUAAGGUCAGGCAACGAGCGAGACCCACGCCCACAGUUGCCAGCGUACUCUCCGGAGUGACGGGUACACUGUGGGGACCGCCGCUGCUAAAGCGGAGGAAGGAAUGGGCAACGGUAGGUCAGUAUGCCCCGAAUAUCCCGGGCUACACGCGAGCUACAAUGGUUGGUACAAUGGGUAUCUACCCCGAAAGGGGACGGGAAUCUCCUAAACCUGUCCUUAGUUCGGAUUGUGGGCUGCAACUCGCCCACAUGAAGCUGGAAUCUGUAGUAAUCGCGUCUCAACAUGGCGCGGUGAAUAUGUCCCUGCUCCUU